UACGUAGGGGGCGAGCGUUGUCCGGAUUUAUUGGGCGUAAAGAGCUCGUAGGCGGUUCGAUAAGUCGGACGUGAAAUCUCCACGCUCAACGUGGAGGGGCCGUUCGAUACUGUCGUGACUCGAGUCCGGUAGGGGAGUGUGGAAUUCCUGGUGUAGCGGUGGAAUGCGCAGAUAUCAGGAGGAACACCGAUGGCGAAGGCAGAUCUCUGGGCCGUAACUGACGCUGAGGAGCGAAAGCAUGGGGAGCGAACAGG
rnacentral:rRNA from 1 species